CAGCAGCCGCGGGAAUACGAACCGUGCGAACGUUAUUCGGAAUCACUGGGCUUAAAGCGCGUGUAGGCGGGCCGCCGCGUCGGCUGCUGAAAUCCCCCGGCUCAACCGGGGAACGGGCACCGAUACGGGCGGCCUCGAGGGGGGUAGGGGGGCCUGGAACUUCCGGUGGAGCGGUGAAAUGCGUCGAGAUCGGAAGGAACGCCCGUGGCGAAAGCGAGGCCCUGGACCCUUUCUGACGCUGAGACGCGGAAGCCAGGGGAGCGAACGGGAUUAGAUACCCCAGUAGUCCCUGUCUCUUAUA
rnacentral:rRNA from 1 species